rnacentral:rRNA from 1 species
UACGGGGGGAGCAAGCGUUGUUCGGAUUUACUGGGCGUAAAGCGCGCGUAGGCGGCUUUUCAAGUCGAUUGUGAAAUCCCCGGGCUUAACCUGGGAACUGCGCUUGUUACUGGCAGGCUUGAGUGUGGCAGAGGGGGGUGGAAUUCCACGUGUAGCAGUGAAAUGCGUAGAGAUGUGGAGGAACACCGAUGGCGAAGGCAGCCCCCUGGGCUAACACUGACGCUCAUGCACGAAAGCGUGGGGAGCAAACAGG